rnacentral:lncRNA from 1 species
AUGAAUACUAGGACAAACAAACAGGCCUCCGGGAUGCCGGCCCAGCCGCUCCAAACCACAGUUGGCAACAGGUUUGGAGGUGGCAGUGGGCGAAAAUCGUACCAGCAACACUGCAGUAAUCCUCGGGAGCGAACGCAGGGAAGCUCUCUCCAGAACGUGCCCUGCUUGAGAGACAGCAAGAGUCAUGAGACCGCUCCGGCCCGCCUUUGGCAAACAAGAGUCUAUAAUUAUGCAGACGUGCAUGGGAGCAGAAGGAAAUCCUGGAUUGCGUCUAGCAGUAUCGUAUGCUGCACAACGAAUCCUGUUAGAAGCAGACUCACAUCCUCUCGGGAUCAAAGCAGCCCCAUCUUGGGCCCUCAGGAUUUCCCCCACGUUAGGAUCAACCAAUGAAAGAUCCUGAAACCUACAAGCAAACAGGCCACCACGAGUGAGAAUCAGUAGAAAUUAUGAGUCACGGAACGCAACCUCCUUCCUUUAGGUAACGAAAUGAGCAGAUGCAAAAAUAUAUAAAGUGACAAUGUGUCCAGUAUGUAAAGACUGAAAGAAAGAAAAACCAUAAAGAUAGGCAAGCCAUAAGAAACUAUAAAAAAAAAAAAAAAUGACGGGGGCACCUGGGUGGCUCAGUCGGUUAAGCGUCCGACUUCGGCUCAGGUCAUGAUCUCACGGUCCGUGAGUUCGAGCUCCGCAUCAGGCUCUGUGCUGACAGCUCAGAGCCUGGAGCCCAUUUUGGAUUCUGUGUCUCCCUCUCUCUCUGCCCCUCCCCUGUUCAUGCUCUGUCUCUCUCGGUCUCAAAAAUAAAUAAACGUUAAAAAAAAAAUUUUUUAAAAAA